CUUCCCUCGGCCCCGGACUCAUCGCGUCUGAGCAGGAGGAGGGAGGGGAGCACAGAGCUGGCUGUGAGGAAAUGAGAGCACCACAGAGGCAGUACAACAUGGGGCCUAACUAAAGAUAAAUAUCUGCUGAAAAAGUGAGGAACCAAUGAUGUCUGAGCAUCACACUCUGCAAAGGAAGAUUUAGCUGGAAGCCACCACCCCAUCUGGACCUGAUGAAGGAGAAAAUGGUAGACAACAGAGAAGACGUCACCUAUACAUAGUAUGUCUACAUAUUAAAUGAAAGCCGGCCGUACUGAAAGGAUACUACGAGCACAUGGCUAGCUGUUUAUAUUUACCUUCUCCGCAGCACUGGAGCCUCCUUUGAGUUCUGUUUAUUUUGAUUUCCAUGGACACUGACCUGUCAAUCAUGAUGUAAUGGUGACGUAUAGUCAGCUGAUGUAUUAUCUGUACAGAAGUUACAUAUAUAAGUGUGUUAUGUGCUGCAUUGAUAUAUAUGUUUGCAAUUGAAAAAGGCUUACCA